ACCGCAAGGAUCGCACGAGGGUAAGACCGGUAACUGGGGCUAAGUCGUAACAAGGUAGCCGUACCGGAAGGUGCGGCUGGAACACCUCCUUU
rnacentral:ncRNA from 1 species